CUCCUCUGAGACCUUUCACUUCAACAAAGAUGAUGUUGAAGCUGCUGUGUUUCCUUGUUCUGCUGUCUGCAGCCGUGGGUUAUAUUUAUCAUGGCCCCUUCUACGGCUUCUACCAUGGAGUACUGGGAAGAAGAGGGGGUAACUAUGAAGGCCCAGGAUAUAUAAGAAAAUACUAUGGAGGAAGAGGACUUGUAGGAGAUUAUCGUUAUGACAAAGGAGCUGGAGAUUUUUACGGCAGCAGAGGAUAAAAAGUUAUUUUCUACGGAUUAUUUAUGAAAACUUGGAUGAAUGUGUUUAUGUCAGCACCGGUAUAUGACUGUUUAUCAAACAAACAUUAUUAGUAAUGAGGCUCCUAUUUAAUGUAUUUAGAGCUCUAAUUUAUAAGGGUUUAAACUUUAUAUUAUGAGGGCAAGUGUUCAAUAAAAAUAUACUUUGUAAUGUCAUCACAAGCAUUA